UAAAUCUAAUGAUCACUAAUUUAAAUUAAGAUAAUUAAAAAGCUUUGGUCUGUAUUAAUAUUUAGUGUCUAAAUAAUCGGUUAAUAGUGUUGAAUUAAUAGGCAACAACUUAACAAUGUACGAAUGUUAAGAGAGCAUACAAGAGACAAAGUAGUCUAGAGAUAUUUAAGUUUGUAGAAAAGCCCUCCCCUUAUAAGCUUCCAAUUAUAACUACGUAAGGUAAAUGAUUCAUAAAUAUAAAGAAAAUGGACCAUCAAAUGAGAGUUAAAAGUUCUCCUUAAUUGUGAACUCUCUAGUUAAUCGGAUCAUCAAAUGAGUGCAAGUCUGAUUAAUGAUUUGACAAUAAGUCUCCCCUCACUAUUCUUUAUUUGUUGUUCGGAUGAGGAUCUCAAUUUUGCAAAUUCAUCUGGACAAAAUAAACCAUCCAAAUCAGUUGUGAAACCAGGAUAUGGUUCGACGAGGGCCUUGAUGCAGAAUUCGUAAACUUGAGUAGGCUAGAACUGAACAUCAAUAUAAUUGAUGGGACCAAUAAAAUGAGGACAAAAAUGGGCAAAUUAUAAACUUGGUAGGCUGCAAAAUAAAACUUUUAAAAGUGAGGGG
rnacentral:lncRNA from 1 species